GAACAGUGCUAAACUUGCUGGGGAGCUCCUUGCAAUUCUCUGCAUCUUUAAUUCUUACCAAAAUGUCCAUAUUUAUUUUUCAGACCUCUUCCAAACUGGAGCAAUAGGAGCAUAUUUUACAAAUUGCAUGCGCUACAGUUCUUCUGGAGGGUCCUUUUACAACUGGGGUUUGCUAGGAAGCAGUUAGAGCUCAGCUUAAUCUAUUGAGAGAGAACUCUGACAAGGACUUUAACAGAAUUAAAUGGGCACGAUGGUAUGAUAACAGAUAAGUUACGAGUUAAUGUUACCAAUAUGUUUGACCGGGGCCACCGCUGUAUGCAGCUUUUGAAUGCUUUAGAGAAUGUGCUAUGGGUUAAAAGUAAGCCUUAGCUUCUGAAGGAAGAUCAGGGUGGUUUUCUCAUAGCUGUGCAGAAGAGUUUGACUCUGCACAUGUGUAAAUAACAAGGCAACACAUCAAACUUAAACUUUGGUUCAUGUCUCCAGUGCCAGAAUCAAUGUGUCAAUUUGAGCCGUUAAAGUUGGAAGUCAUACUGUAGGCUCUUACUCAAUUUUCUGUAGGUUU